ACACCUCAACUCUCAUGGUCCGCCAUGAUGAGCUUGGACUUUGGGGGCCUUGCCGGCCUAGCGUCGGCUCCUCUCAAAUAGAUCAGCUUGCCAGUGUUUGGUGGCGUCACAGGUGUGAUAACUAUCUACGCAUGUGGUUCUCCGCCAUGUAACCUUCAGUGAUGGAGGUUCGCUGGAGCUCACAGAUGUCUCUCCUUGGGAGGACAGCUUUUGAAC
rnacentral:misc_RNA from 2 species